GGGGGGGGGCUGUACGAGGUCUCUCUGUGGGGUGGAAGUUGGUGGGGGGCUGUACGAGGUCUCUCUGUGGGGUGGAAGGUGGUGGGGGGGGUCUGUACGAGGUCUCUCUGG